rnacentral:rRNA from 1 species
AUACGUAGGGGGCGAGCGUUGUCCGGAAUGAUUGGGCGUAAAGGGCGCGUAGGCGGCCCGGUAAGUCUGGAGUGAAAGUCCUGCUUUUAAGGUGGGAAUUGCUUUGGAUACUGUCGGGCUUGAGUGCAGGAGAGGUAAGUGGAAUUCCCAGUGUAGCGGUGAAAUGCGUAGAGAUUGGGAGGAACACCGGUGGCGAAGGCGACUUACUGGACUGUAACUGACGCUGAGGCGCGAAAGUGUGGGGAGCAAACAGGAUUAGAUACCCUGGUAGUCCACACUGUAAACGAUGAAUGCUAGGUGUAGGGGGUAUCGACCCCUUCUGUGCCGCAGUUAACACAAUAAGCAUUCCGCCUGGGGAGUACGGCCGCAAGGUUGAAACUCAAAUGAAUUGGCGGGG